GCGCCCUGUCACCUCCCCGCCGCCAUCUUGUGUGCGGCGGGUCCGGGCCGGUGGUAGCGAGGGGGCUCCGGUGCCGGGAGCCUCCUCCUCGGUCCCCCGGGGCUGCCGCUCCGCGUUGGGGGCUGUGGGAAGCGCGUUCGUGGGGUGCCGGCACCCUGCUCCCUGACAGAGCUGCUCUGCUCCAAGCCGCAGGGACGGUUCACCUCAGGCCGUCUGCCUUUAACACGGAAAAUCGCUGCUUUUCUUAAAAUAAGCCAUCUCAGAGCUUCCCGAGAAUAUGUAGCUAUGAAAACAAAAGUCAGGAACCCGACGCGAUUUGUUCCGAGCAGCUGAGGGUGCAGGAAAUCCCCAUCCUGGGAUGCGUGAGGCCAGCCGGCUGGUGCCUGCGCUGGGAUCGCCGCAGACCUUGCCUGCGCCUUCAUCUGCGAGGAGGGGAAAUUGCAGGGGAAACUGCACCUUUUUGCAGGGGAAACGCAAUCCGGGGUUGGUGUAAACACGGCAUGUCGCACCUUUCCUACUCCUGACACCACCCGGUGUUGAAGCAACCUCUGGAGUCUGCCUUUGACUCCCCAGUCUAUUUGGCUUCUGCUCACCUUUGUUGUUCCAGCAUCAAGAUCUUGGGAGAAGUCAGCUGUUGUUAAACAAUCUUACUUAAAUUAACAGAACAAGAUAGCAUGGGAGGGGCCUCUGUAUGUUGUCUACUCCAAAACAGGGGGAGGACCAUGCUCACAUAUUUGCUGCAGUUAUUUCCCACCUCCUCGGUGACGCCGCUGUGCCAGGAGAACAUCAGUUCAAUCAACAACAGUUUUAAUUUGCCAGUUUCUAAGCUUCACUCAUACAGAGGACCCAAGGAUGGCAGCUUCUUCACCCCACCGCACUCACCACAGGUUUGUUCCCAGAGCCAUGUGCAAAAAAUCAUGGGAGAGCAGGAAGAAAUGGCUUUGCAGUGCUCAAGGCUGACUUUGCAACGUGGCAGAGGCCAGAAAAAGGCAGAUUUAUUGGGUCAAAGCAGUUACAUUAAAGGAAGAGAAAUUCUGAUAUGGUGCUUCAGUUCCAGGGAUGCCCCGCUCGCACAAGGGCUGUUUCCUUGGGGCCAUCCCAUGCUGCAGCUUGUGCCAGUGCCUCCGGUGCUCUCACUGUGCCCCUGGGAGCAGGGUCUGGUCCCAGCAUCUCCGGGACCCUUUUGGGCUGGGGGAGAUACCUGCAGGGAAUUCCCCAGUGCCUCCUUGCCUGCAGCUAAGCAAGCCCCGCUCCUGCAGCCUCGCCUUGCACGCCCUGGCCUCCACCUGUCUGAGGCCUCCCUGGCCUCACUCCUGUCUGGAGAUCCCUGUGAGCCCCAAACCAGUCCCAGUAUCUUGGUGUCAUCACCCAAGUGCCAAGCAGAGGGGAGCGCUCCCUUCCCUCAACCUGUCUACCCCGAGUCAAGUUGAAAAAGAGGACAAUGCCUCCAGAUCAUCUUCAAGUCGCCUCAGCUGGAAACCAAAAUACCUGUCUGGAGUGAAGCUGUACACAGGUACAGGGCUGUCUGCCUUCGCUGAGCCAAGGGAUGGUCUGUGCCACCGAGCUCAGGAAUGUGUCACCUCCAUGGCGUCCAGGGAGCAGGAGCAUAAUCAUACAGAGAGGCUCCAUGUCAAGCUCAUGUGUGUUUUUCUGCUGAGUCCUGAAAUUCUGCAGUCAUGUAAUGACAGCUCUCCUUCCUGCUCAGUUUCAGGAUCUGAUCCUGGAGGCUUCUAUGGUUUCACCCACUAUUUAUUCUUCACCUCACAUGAUUUUUGGAAUUUCCAUUUCAAAAUGUUUUGUGGAUUUUGUCCUACUGUGAUGCUGGCAACCAGGGAUAGCACAAUUUUCGUUCUCAAACUGGGUUUUCUCAAUUUUCCCAGUAGGGGCAGCACUUGCCUUUCAAGUGAGUCUAAAGGAAGAAAAAUAUCUGUAUUUAAAAAAUGAAUUCCUGUUUCUUGAAUAGCUUGAAUAGCAAGUACAAUUUCAGCACAAACCUGAACUAAGUGGGUUUAGUAGCUAUCAUUUCUUUUUAAUGUUUAACAUGCUGCCUAAAGCUGAUGAGUGAUUUCUGUCCUGUGUCAUCAUGCAAGCUGUAUUACUUAGAUUACAAUAAGGUCUCUAAGUCAAACUUCCUUUUACUCUAGUAAUAAAAAUAAUAAUAAUAAAUAUAUUAUGAUUGUCCCGAUCUAUUAUGGGCAAGAGCCUUGGUCAGGAUUGGAGACCUCCAGAGAUCCCUUCCCAGCACCACUGCUGUCAUUGCUGUCAUGCCGUGGGCAGCACUGCCUGGGAAAUUAAGGACACAUUUUAACAGAAUAAUUCUCUGCCCAGAUCUCCCCAUACCUUUUGGGGACACACAGAAUUCUCUCAUAAAACAGCCUAAGGUCCUUUUACCAACUUGAUAAAUACAUAAAAUAAAAGGAAUCUUUAGGGCACCAGGUUCUCCAAGUGAGGACAAGCAUCAAACUUUAUUAUGGUUUCAGUGUUAACACAGUUUGCACUGUAGCAGCCUCCAGAUACAAUAAUCUAAUCUCCCUUCAGCAAGGGAGAAGCAAGCAUGUGAGCGGAAAAGCUAACGCCUAGGUUCUCAUUUUUAUGGCGAGUUUUAGUGACUUGAAGAUCUACAACCAAAAUCCAAUUGGGUCUAACAUACAUUAUUUCAAGAGAAUUUUUGUGUAAACUAUAUAAAGGUCAAAAUCAUAUAAACCCCUCACCAUUGCCAAGCAUGGGAGAGAGCCUAACCUCUGCCAGGUGCCUAGAAAAUUUAUCACUGUAAAAAAAGGUUGUUAAUGUCUCUGUUAAAGAAAGAAAAGGGAGCUGCAAAUCACAUUUGUCCUACAGGUCAUCCCAAUAUUAUUGUGGCUCUGAGCUUCCUUUACUUAGGCUGCAAGUACUUCUUGGAGGAGUUGGUAGGCAGAUGUUUUGCUGGAAAAACACAGGAACCAGAGCAGCUCACACUGAAUUCAAGGGGAGUUUUGUCCCAGAGCGCUGGUCAGAUGUGUCAAUCCUAUUAGAAGCAUUAUUCACGGGUCACGGCACUAGGGCUGAAGGUUGAAUAUGUUUGUUCUGCAAAUUGGGCUAAUGUGAAGACCAUAAAAGGGAGUAUGUAUCAUGUCUGGCCUCUUGCUGGAAUCUGAGAUUGCAGCAUGUUACAUUUCCCUGAAAUUACAUUACCUCAGAUAUGAUUUUAUGGUAACUUACAGCUAGGAAAGGCUUUAGUUUCAUUAAUAAUGGCCACCUUCUUUUUAACAUUUGAUACAAUGCAAGCAAAACUUUUUUUCCUCUUUGUUUGGAAUGAGACAGACAGAGGGAAAAAAAUUAAAUCUGAAGACCCUCGAUUUGGUCGAAGCACGGACU